rnacentral:rRNA from 1 species
GAAAGCGCUCUGCUAGACCGAAUCUGACGCUGAGGGACGAAAGCUAGGGGAGCGAAUGGGAUUAGAUACCCCAGUAGUCCUAGCCGUAAACGAUGGAGACUAGGUGUUGCCUGUAUCGACCCGGGCAGUGCCGAAGCCAACGCGUUAAGUCUCCCGCCUGGGGAGUACGCACGCAAGUGUGAAACUCAAAGGAAUUGACGGGGGCCCGCACAAGCGGUGGAGUAUGUGGUUUAAUUCGAUGCAACGCGAAGAACCUUACCAGGGCUUGACAUCCCGCGAAUCUUCCCGAAAGGGGAGAGUGCCUACGGGAACGCGGAGACAGGUGGUGCAUGGCUGUCGUCAGCUCGUGUCGUGAGAUGUUGGGUUAAGUCCCGCAACGAGCGCAACCCUCGUCCUUAGUUGCCAGCCUUAAGUGGGGCACUCUAGGGAGACUGCCGGUGAUAAACCGGAGGAAGGUGGGGAUGACGUCAAGUCAUCAUGCCCCAUAUGUCCUGGGCUACACACGUACUACAAUGGUCGGGACAACGAGCAGCCAACUUGCGAAAGCGAGCUAAUCUCUUAAACCCGGCCUCAGUUCAGAUUGCAGGCUGCAACUCGCCUGCAUGAAGGAGGAAUCGCUAGUAAUCGCAGGUCAGCAUACUGCGGUGAAUCCGUUCCCGGGCCUUGCACACACCGCCCGUC